CGUAUAUUAAAGUUGUUGCAGUUGAAAAGCUCGUAGUUGGAUUUUUGGUGUCCAUUUUGGUCCUGGCAUUGUCUGGGUACUGGAUGUGGGCGUCAUCCUUGGGUGGAAGCAGUGUGGCAUUAGGUUGUCGUGUUGCGGAUGCCCAUCGUUUACUGUGAAAAAAUCAGCGCGUUCAAAGCAGGCUUAUGCCGUUGAAUGUAUUAGCAUGGAAUAAUAAGAUAGGACCUUGGUACUAUUUUGUUGGUUUGCGCGCCGAGNUAAUGAUUAAUAGGGACAGUUGGGGG
rnacentral:rRNA from 1 species